rnacentral:rRNA from 1 species
UACGUAGGUGGCGAGCGUUGUCCGGAUUUACUGGGUGUAAAGGGCGUGUAGGCGGGACAGCAAGUCAGGAGUGAAAUGUACAGGCUUAACCUGUGAAUUGCUUUUGAAACUGCAGUUCUUGAGUAUCGGAGAGGCAGGCGGAAUUCCGUGUGUAGCGGUAAAAUGCGUAGAUAUACGGAAGAACACCAGUGGCGAAGGCGGCCUGCUGGACGACAACUGACGCUGAGGCGCGAAAGCGUGGGGAGCGAAC